UGAAAGGAGACGCCGAGAGAAAGGAAAUGGUCUUAUCACCAUGUGCUGGGACGUUUUUCCUUUUGGAACAAAAAGUGUCCUUCUGAGCACUGACCAAGGCUUAACUGGAGGACCGUCCCAGAAAGCACAGUGAGAAAUCACAGCUUACAGCCCAAGCUGACAUGAAGAAUGAGAGAGCUGAAACUUCUCCCAGUUCUGCUACAAGCUCUUUGUCAAACGAAUUAUGAGAGCCCUGCUCGGCUCUGGCUGAUGGUGGUGCUGGGAAUUGAACCUAGGACCUCAGCACUUCAGGCAGGAGAGUCUUCUCCAGAGCCACUGUGCCGUCUCCCCUGCCCAAACCUCUGGGCUCUUUUCCGGUGCUUCCAUGAAAUGUAGCCGUUGGACACA